CCCGGCUGUAGUAAUAUAUCACAUCCGGCAGACAGCGUGGCUCAGAGAGGUUCGGCAUCACGUUGCUAUUGUUUGAGCUGUGUCAGUGAUAGUGUGCGUCUAUCAGAAAAAAACACACACACACACACACACACACACACAC